ACGGGGUGCAGCAGGCGCGAAAACUUUGCAAUACACGUAAGUGUGACAGGGCUAUCCCGAGUGCCAUCCGCUGAGGAAGGCUUUUACCCAGUCUAGAUCGCUGGGGGAAUAAGGAGAGGGCAAGACUGGUGUCAGCCGCCGCGGUAACACCAGCCCCUCGAGUGGUGGGGAUGAUUAUUUGGCCUAAAGCGUCCGUAGCCGGCCGGGUAAGUUUCCCGUUAAAUCCAACGUCUCAAGCGUUGGACCGCGGGAAAUACUGCCUGGCUAGGGGACGAGAGAGGCAGACGGUAUUCCCGGGGUAGGGGUGAAAUCCUGUAAUCCUUGGAGGACCACCCGUGGCGAAGGCGCUCUCCUAAGACGGGUCCGACGGUGAGGGACGAAAGCCAGGGGAGCAAACCGGAUUAGAUACCCGGGUAGUCCUGGCCGUAAACGAUGUGGACUUGGUAUUCGAGUGGCCAUGAGCUGUUCGAGUGCCGUAGGGAAGCUGUUAAGUCCACCGCCUGGGGAGUAUGGUCGCAAGGCUGAAACUUAAAGGAAUUGGCGGGGGAGCAC
rnacentral:rRNA from 1 species